UGCCCUGCAGCUCCCUACGAGGGCGGAGUGUGGAAAGUCAGAGUGGACCUUCCCGAUAAAUAUCCCUUCAAAUCCCCAUCCAUAGGAUUCAUGAAUAAAAUUUUCCAUCCCAACAUCGACGAGGCGUCAGGAACUGUCUGUCUAGAUGUAAUCAAUCAAACCUGGACAGCUCUCUAUGGUGAGUCGGGAAUGGAUGUGAUUCCAGGACCCUUUUUUUUGGGAAUUUUUACGGAAUUUUC